ACUAUAAAUGAAUAUGAACUAUUCUUUGAUUCUAAAUUUCUUAUCGAGAUGGCAACCUCAGUUUAGACUAUUCACAAGUAAGAUUUUCAAGGUUAACUUAAAAUAAUAAUAAUAAAUUAAAAUAGGGGUUCUUAAAAAGUUAACACAAAUUCUUUUGGAGUUUGCCAAUUCCAUUUUUAACUCUUGGAAAAGUUCCUUAUUUUACUCGAACACUACCUACAUAAGAUUCGACUGUACGAUAUUAUCACAAACUAGAUAAACUUUUUUUUGCAACAGAUAAGAUAACUUUAAAGUGAUUAUUGCAUUCAAGAAUAUUAGCCUUUUUGUGACUUUUAGUAAGAAGAGCGGAAUAAGAUUAUAUAGAAAGAGUGGAGCAAUAUAUAUAAAGACAUGAAUCACAAUUUUUCUUUGUUGUUUUUAUAUGUGAACUCAGAGGCAAAAAUGAGAAGCAAACAAAGGCUGCUUCUACUUGUGCUCAUGCCUCUCCUUUUCCUUUGCAUUCAUCAACUAGGAGGAGUUGAAAAUGAUGAAGAGAGAGGAAGAACGGUGGCCCGCGUCGGCAGUGUUGGUGGAGGCGGGGGAAAUGGAGGCAGUCCGGUGGUUUCCGGGGGAGAUGGUGGCUCACACGUCCCUGGUGGUGGUGGCGUGACCCCGGUGUAUGCAGCAGCCGGUGCAGGAAACAACCACCACCCUCACCACGGCGGAGGAAACUGCGACAGAGGCAGAGCGGCGCCGGAGGCCUUGGCCGUAAUUAUAUUUGCAUGCCUUCUAUUUUGUAGGAGUAUUAUUUAAACAAUGUUUUUAGAGAUUAAGAUUGUACAAACAAUAAAAAUGGUGUGUGUGUUUAUUGUACAUCAUUUUGUGUAUAAUAUACCAUGAUGUAUUUUACUAUGGUUUCUUCAUUCUGCCAAUUUGUGUACAAAUACAUCAAUGUUGAUGUGAAUCCUAGUGAAUUUUUAUUUGUAUUGUAUUGCUAUUAUUUGAGUAA